rnacentral:rRNA from 1 species
UACAGAGGUCCCAAGCGUUGUUCGGAUUCAUUGGGCGUAAAGGGUGUGUAGGUGGCGCCGUAAGUCGGGUGUGAAAUCUCGGGGCUUAACUCCGAAACUGCAUUCGAUACUGCGGUGCUUGAGGACUGGAGAGGAGACUGGAAUUCAUGGUGUAGCAGUGAAAUGCGUAGAGAUAUGAGGAAGACCAGUGGCGAAAGGCGGGGUCUCUGGACAGUUCCUGACACUGAGACACGAAGGCCAGGGGGAGCAAAACGGGGAUUUAGAAAACCCCCCUGUAG